UACGAGGGGGGCAAAUGUUGUUCGGAAUCACUGGGCGUAAAGGGAGCGUAGGCGGGUUUUUAAGUCAGGUGUUUAAUCCCGGGGCCCAACCCCGGACAGGCACUUGAAACUGGGAAUCUUGAAUAGUGGAGAGGUCAGUGGAAUUGGGGGUGUAGCGGUGGAAUGCGUAGAGAUCCCCAAGAACACCCGUUACGAAGGCGGCUGACUGGACACAUAUUGACGCUGAGGCUCGAAAGCAUGGGGAGCAAACAGG
rnacentral:rRNA from 1 species